AGCUUUGCGCAGUGGCAGUAUCGUAGCCAAUGAGGUUUAUCCGAGGUGCGAUUAUUGCUAAUUGAGAAGAAUUAAUAUUGUUAAAAUGUUCAUGCUACCCAAAGUGAUCUAUGGAUUCAAUGCAAUCUCUCUCUCUUUUUUAAAAAA